rnacentral:rRNA from 1 species
CCUACGGGUGGCAGCAGUGGGGAAUAUUGCACAAUGGAGGAAACUCUGAUGCAGCGACGCCGCGUGAGUGAAGAAGGUCUUCGGAUUGUAAAGCUCUGUCUUCGGGGAAGAAAGUGACGGUACCUAAAGAGGAAGCCCCGGCUAACUACGUGCCAGCAGCCGCGGUAAUACGUAGGGAGCAAGCGUUGUCCGGAAUUAAUGGGUGUAAAGGGUGCGUAGGCGGGCGUGAAAGUUGAAUGUUAAAUCUACGGGCUUAACUGGUGGCUGAGUUGGAAAGUGCUUGGCUUGAGUGCAGUAGAGGCAGGCGGAAUUCCAGGUGUAGGAGUGAAAUGCGUAGAUAUCUGGAGGAACAUCGGUGGCGAAGGCGACUAUCUGGCACGUAACUGACGCUGAGGAGCGAAAGCGUGGGGAGCAAACAGGAUUAGAUACCCCUGUAGUC